rnacentral:tRNA from 1 species
GCGAGCGUGUCGCUGCGCGCAAAGCGUCCGAGACUAAACCAGCGACUGAGCUUGGAGAUGCCAAUCAGGGGGCUUUCGUGGACCGGAGUUCGAUUCUCCGCGCCUCCACCA